rnacentral:sRNA from 1 species
GUCGUGAGAUGUUGGGUUAAGUCCCGCAACGAGCGCAACCCUUGCCAUUAGUUGCCACAUUAAGUUGAGCACUCUAAUGGGACUGCCGGUGACAAACCGGAGGAAGGUGGGGGUGACGUCAAGUCCUCAUGGCCCUUAUGGGUAGGGCUACACACGUCAUACAAUGGUCGGUACAGAGGGUUGCCAACCCGCGAGGGGGAGCCAAUCCCAGAAAGCCGAUCGUAGUCCGGAUUGGAGUCUGCAACUCGACUCCAUGAAGUCGGAAUCGCUAGUAAUCGCAGAUCAGCAUGCUGCGGUGAAUACGUUCCCGGGCCUUGUACACACCGCCCGUCACACCAUGGGAGUGGGGUUCACCAGAAGCAGGUUGCCUAACCGCAAGGGGGGCGCCUACCACGGUGAGCUUCAUGACUGGGGUGAAGUCGUAACAAGGUAGCCGUAUCGGAAGGUGCGGCUGGAUCACCUCCUUUCUAGAGAAUUGCCGGAAAGCUCCCGAGCGUCCACUCCUAUCGGCUGCAGUUCAGAUGCAAGCCGAAGUGCCUUCGUGCUCCUGGGUCUGUAGCUCAGCUGGUUAGAGCAUCGUCUUGAUAAGGCGGGGGUCGAUGGUUCGAAUCCAUCCAGACCCACCAACCGACACCCGCCCCGGAGCAGAUUGGGGCCAUAGCUCAGCUGGGAGAGCGCCUGCUUUGCAAGCAGGAGGUCACCGGUUCGAUCCCGGUUGGCUCCACCAGGACCUGGAACACAGUGCAGAUUGCAGUGAGAAGGGCAGACCCUUCUCAGUGCAUUCUGUUUUAUUCGGCUGCUCUUUAAAAAUUCGGAAGAAACAAGGCGGGUCCGGCGAUUUCAAACCGCCGGAUCCAUCUGGGUAAGAGAUUGCAUUUGUAUUAUUUUUACCAAGCGCUGAACUGCCUGUAGCGGCGUGCCGUGCUCUAAAGGCGCGGUGCCCACCGUUAUAGGGUCAAGUGAAUAAGUGCAUGUGGUGGAUGCCUUGGCGACAACAGGCGACGAAGGACGUUGCAGCCUGCGAUAAGCUUCGGGGAGCUGGCAAGCGAGCUUUGAUCCGAAGAUUU